UGGGGAAUCUUGCGCAAUGGCCUAACGGCUGACGCAGCGACGCCGCGUGUGGGAGGACGCCCUUCGGGGUGUAAACCACUGUUGCCCGGGACGAAUGCCCCCUUGGGGGGAUUGACGGUACCGGGUGAGGAAGCACCGGCUAACUCCGUGCCAGCAGCCGCGGUAAUACGGAGGGUGCGAGCGUUGUCCGGAAUCACUGGGCGUAAAGGGCGCGUAGGCGGCUUGACAAGCGUGUGGUGAAAGCCCGGGGCUCAACCCCGGGUCGGCCGUGCGGACUGUCGAGCUGGAGCACUGUAGAGGCGGGUGGAAUUCCGGGUGUAGCGGUGGAAUGCGUAGAGAUCCGGAAGAACACCGGUGGCGAAGGCGGCCCGCUGGGCAGUAGCUGACGCUGAGGCGCGACAGCGUGGGGAGCAAACAG
rnacentral:rRNA from 1 species